rnacentral:rRNA from 1 species
AGAGUUUGAUCAUGGCUCAGAACGAACGCUGGCGGCAGGCUUCAUACAUGCAAGUCGAGCGAUUAAGACCCCUUCGGGGGUGUAUAAAGCGGCAAACGGGUGAGUAACAGGUGGAUAAUCUGCCUUCCGAUGGGGGACAACGGCUGGAAACGGCCGCUAAUACCGCAUACGGUUGCGAGUUCCUUGGAACUUGCAAAGAAAGGCGCUUUUGCGUCGUCGGAAGAUGAGUCCGCCCCCCAUUAGCUAGUUGGCGGGAUAAUAGCCCACCAAGGCAACGAUGGGUAGCCGAGCUGAGAGGUUGAUCGGCCACACUGGAACUGAGACACGGUCCAGACACCUACGGGUGGCAGCAGUAGGGAAUAUUGCGCAAUGGACGAAAGUCUGACGCAGCCAUGCCGCGUGGAGGACGAAGGCCUUCGGGUCGUAAACUCCUUUUCUAAGGGAAGAACCGCUGGGAGAGUGGAAUGCUCCCGGUCUGACGGUACCUUAGGAAUAAGCAACGGCUAACUCCGUGCCAGCAGCCGCGGUAAUACGGAGGUUGCAAGCGUUGUUCGGAAUUACUGGGCGUAAAGGGAGCGCAGGCGGCCAAAUAAGUCUGAAGUGAAAGCCCGGGGCUCAACCUCGGACGUGCUUCGGAUACUGUUUGGCUUGAGUUCGUGAGAGGAGAGGGGAAUUCCAGGUGUAGCGGUGGAAUGCGUAGAUAUCUGGAGGAACACCCGUGGCGAAAGCGCCUCUCUGGCACGAUACUGACGCUGAGGCUCGAAAGCGUGGGGAUCGGACAGGAUUAGAUACCCUGGUAGUCCACGCCGUAAACGUUGUGCACUAGGUGUAGGAGGUGUCGACCCCUUCUGUGCCGAAGCUAACGCAUUAAGUGCACCGCCUGGGGAGUACGGUCGCAAGACUGAAACUUAAAUGAAUUGACGG